UCGAGCGGUAACAGAGAGAAGCUUGCUUCUCUGCUGACGAGCGGCGGACGGGUGAGUAAUACUUGGGAACUUGCCUUUAGGAGGGGGACAACCACGGGAAACUGUGGCUAAUACCGCAUAAUGUCUUCGGACCAAAGUAGGGGAUCUUCGGACCUUACACCUAAAGAUGGGCCCAAGCGAGAUUAGCUAGUUGGUGGGGUAAAGGCUCACCAAGGCGACGAUCUCUAGCUGUUCUGAGAGGAUGAUCAGCCACACUGGGACUGAGACACGGCCCAGACUCCUACGGGAGGCAGCAGUGGGGAAUAUUGCACAAUGGGGGAAACCCUGAUGCAGCCAUGCCGCGUGUGUGAAGAAGGCCUUCGGGUUGUAAAGCACUUUCAGUGGUGAGGAAGGCCAUAAGAUUAAUACUCUUGUGGAUUGACGUUAACCACAGAAGAAGCACCGGCUAACUCCGUGCCAGCAGCCGCGGUAAUACGGAGGGUGCGAGCGUUAAUCGGAAUUACUGGGCGUAAAGCGUACGUAGGCGGCUUGUUAAGCAAGAUGUGAAAGCCCCGGGCUCAACCUGGGAAUGGCAUUUUGAACUGGCAAGCUCGAGUUCUGAAGAGGGUGGUAGAAUUUCCUGUGUAGCGGUGAAAUGCGUAGAUAUAGGAAGGAAUACCGGUGGCGAAGGCGGCCACAUGGUCAGAAAC
rnacentral:rRNA from 2 species